UACGUAGGGAGCGAGCGUCGUCCGGAAUUACUGGGCGUAAAGGGCGCGUAGGCGGUGAUACAAGUCGCAUGUGAAAGACCCGGGCUCAACCCGGGGAGUGCAUGCGAAACUGUAUGACUUGAGUGCGGUAGAGGAAAGUGGAAUUCCUAGUGUAGCGGUGAAAUGCGUAGAUAUUAGGAGGAACACCAGUGGCGAAGGCGGCUCACUGGCUCGAUACUGACGCUGAGGUGCGAAAGCGUGGGGAGCAAACAGG
rnacentral:rRNA from 1 species